rnacentral:tRNA from 1 species
GUUUAAGUAGUUUAAGUGAGAAUAUUAAUUUGUGGAAUUAAAGGUAUAUAGGUAAAAUGUAUCUUAGAUU